rnacentral:lncRNA from 1 species
UUUGAACACUUUUAUAUCAAGCCACUGAGGCAGAAUAAAUUCAAGUUCUGUAAACUUCAGGUGUUGUGUCAAAAGUUUCUGAAUUCUCACCAAAAAUCUAAUCUAAUUACACACACACACACACACACACACACACACACACACACACACACACACACAUACAGGAGAUCUGAUAGGAAGAAAGGGUUUCCAAGGCCAUGAUGAAUAGCUGGCAGUUACCCAGCUCUUUAAGGUCAACAAAUGCCUUCUAUCAUCUCAAGUUUCAUUCUCCCUAUUUUACAGACAGAGAAACUGAGAUUCCAGUGGUUUCAGUGGUUUGCCAAGGGCCACACAACUAAGAAAUGGCUGCCCUGGAAUCUGAACCCAGAUGUUCCUAACUGUGGAUUCAGCGCUGUAGCCACUACAGAUGAUUCUCAGUGGCCCCUGGCCCAGAUCUUGGGCCAUUACAGCUAAGGGGAUGCCGUGCUGUGCCAUCGUCUGUGUUGAAUCUGAAUACUGGUAUAUGUCCAAAAACACUGAGGCAGUGAGAUGGAGGGCACAAGGAACUGGCAAAAUGGGAUGGUCCCAAAGGAUAUUUACAUCCGGAGGAAGGCUGGGAGAAGACAACAGAAAGACAAAAAGCAGCAGGAAAAUGCAUUUUUAAGAAG